CCCCUUGAGACUUGGAAAAUCAGACUGCGGUCCGAUAUCCUCUCUCUAUAUUCCCCGAGUCGCCGCUUCGGGGGCCGCCUCGCCGGCGACGGUAAUGAGCGCCUUCGACUCCAGUGCCGCCCCCCAAGUUCUCUACUCCAACCACCAGAUCCACCAUCCGGCAGUGACUUUCCUCAAGGCCCCGACGUCCGCAGGCGAGCACAGCUUCGUCCUGUUGCAAUCGCGAGCAUGCGACGGCGCCAUCGGGGAGUGCGGCGUGGACGAGAGCGAUGAGAUGGAGAUAGGCGGAGACCCUGAGGAGGUUGCUGGCCAGGUUCUUCCUUGCCUAUCCUUAUUUUUCUCUGCCAAUUCGUGUCGGGCGGCGCCAGCAGGUUUCCGUGGACGUCGACAGCGGCUUCCGACCUUCAGGAUAGGCUCGUGUCGCCGUGCUGUGCUGAUGAUAGGGAUGACCGGCUGCGUGACGGGGGUCACCUUGUUUUAUCAUCGUAGGCAGGCUCGACAGAUCAUGUAUCGCUUUACCGGCUUAAUCACACUGUGUCUGUCUAAACUUUGCAUGCAGUGCCCGAUUCUCUUCUAUGACUUCACUGCUUCGUGUGAGUCUUUAGAAAAAUGAUUUGGUGAUUGCUAUUAGAAGUGAUCAAUUAUGAUUUAUUAUUCUAUCCGUCUGUGGGUAGAUUUCUGUCAAAAAGAAAAGACAUAUGUCAGUACCUAGCUGCUGCAGGGAGGAUUGGCCCGUGCAAUACAGUGAUGUAUAUCUUUAUCUCUACCUUUGAUGCCAAAGGUCAUGAUUUUUCAAUGAAAAAUCUACUUUUGUCAAGUUUUUUGUUGUCUUCUAUAAAACAUCACAGAAUCUUCAAUGUUCUGGAGGAAGAAAAAUAUAUGAAUUUGUUAAUAAACUGGUACAAAACAGACAUCAAUCUCUGGUAAAAAAUGUGGAUUAUUUUGGAAAUGUGAGGCGAAAAAAUUGUUUGGGAAACAUCAAACAAACUUCCAUCUACUUAUGAAUAGUGCAGUUCGUUGCAGUUCCAACUUGGAGCUAUGGAUUGUACAAGGAGGUUAGUCAUUUGUAUAUUAAAAUGCACAUAAUCUGUCAAACGCCUUUCACAUAUAUGCAUAUCUUUUGUUGUCCUGGGCACACUUGACCAUAAUGAUACAAACCUUAUAAGCUCCAAUCAUAUGUGGGUAUAUUUUGGGUACUACGUCCGAUCCAUAAAAAGGGCACACAUGACAAUAGCAAUACUAACCUUAUAAGUUUUAAUCGUAUACGUGUAUAUUUUGCAACUCGUUCUGAUCCAUCAGACUUAGUACCAAGUUAAAAAAAACUUUUGAACUAAGUUCCCGUCACUAUAUUUUUUAGUCAUCUAAACCUUACUUAAGUGAACACCAUUUCCUUGUCUAAUUGCUCUGAUUGGCCAUUGGUGUGGAACAUGCAAGCAUUUACCUUGUCUUUUCCCACUUCGGAUCCUCAUGUGGACUGUGGUACAGUCCUGCUUCUCCCUAUCGGCGGAAGGGCAGAAGGGUGCGGAGUAGUCGGUCUUGAAGCAGAAUCGGGAAUGAGGGCCGCAGUUUGCUAGCUGUAUGUGCAAUAAGUGAACCUUUUGUCAUAUUCCUUUUUUUCUAUUCCAGAAUUAGAAGUUGUAGUUUACUGGAUUUAGUCUGACGGACCACACUUAUCUUUUUGUAAGAUCUUCUUGUCUAAUUCUUGCAUUGCAUGCGUUGAGCAUGUUUGUUUUAUCCUCUCGUACAGCUCUCAAAUUCUAAAUAUUUGGGAGAUCGGAUUAAUCACUAGGAAGGCUUGACCUGACCCAUCUUUGAUUUGUUAACUUCUUGAUAGAAUGGAGGCAGUGGUGAGCUCAUGCGGUAGUGGCCGUGACUAGACAUACCUAUGUUCAGUUUGAUUUCUAUUCUCAUUUCCGUAAUUUUUCAUGCAUGGCCAUGGAGCUUUACACAACUCUGAGAUUCAUAUAUAUAGAGCUCCAACCAUCGUAUAGUGAUGUUUUUGUCACACCUUUAUGGUUUCCUCCACAUAGAUAGAUACUUAUGCAAGCUUAGAGUUUGAUUCUAUUACACCUGCUAUUUACCAUGGUCAUCAAAUCGUCCAUUAUAUGAAUAUUUUUUGCACACAUAUCUAAUGCUUGGAGCAUAAUGUGAUAUUCAUAUAACGAAUUUAAAUAUGAGACUAUAAAUGUGACAACAUAGUCAAUAUCUUGUAUGUCAAUUACAAAUGUCUUGAUCAAUACCAGUAGGUUUAAAUUUUUCUUUAAUCCGUGGCAACCCACGGGCAUUGACCUAGUAUAGUUAGACCAUCGAUAGGCUCGGGUGGGGGCAUGUGCGAAAGAAUUUAGUUAGUGCAUUGUGCCAUUUGGUCGCCUUUUUUCUUAUGUUUGUUUUGAACCCUUUUGGGGUUUCUCAUACCUUUUUGUGUCUUCUGUAAAAAGCCCGGUUACACGAAAGGAGGUUUGAGACUAAUACAAGGAAUCUCCAUGAUAAUCCUUGCCACCACAAAAAAUGUAGUUUCCAUGAUAAUACUAGGAGGUCACAUUGGGCUGCAUGGCGGACAAGCUCGAGACAAUGGCACCCUGCUGCAGCGCCAAGGACAAGUUGCAUCAACUGCAAUCUUCCUCCUGUUUUAUCAAUGUUUUCAUUACCUUCCCUUGAUGGAAACGCCCACUAACUAAACGUGCACCCUGUCUAUGUUUCUUUCAGGAUAGUAAUCAACAAUCAACAUGAUAUUCGACAUGUACGAAGGGCUUGAUAGCCAGAAAGGUGAUUCACCACAUCUUCUUUCUCAUCUGUUUUGGUUUCAGUGACGAGCGGGAACAUAGGCAUCAGUCUCGGUUUCAUCUCUUCUUACUGAUAGUGCCCACGUCCAUGAGCAUGCAGAGAGUUCUGCUCAAAGCUUGUGGCUUCGAAUUCGUCCUCUUACAGAUGCUACAAAAGGGAUGAAUGGGGCACUGGACAGAGCCAUAGAGAUUUUGAACUAGACACCUAACUCGUACAUGCUCGAGCAGUUUGACAACCCUGCCAACCCAAAGUCACAUACAUUAUGAGAUGGCUACUGGGCCAAACUUCUAGGAGGAUUUGCAACCGAAGGUGGAUAUAUUCAUUGGCGGAAUUGGGGCGGGUGGAAUGAUAUCUGAUGUUGGUCGUUCUCUCAAGGAGAAAUAUCCUGAUUUGUGCCAAGUUUUCAAAGAAAGAAUGUACUAUCUUGAUGUAUUUAUGGACAAGUAAAGAUAUCAUACAAAUAAAAAAAUGCAUCCUAUCCAAAUAUUAAUACCUUAAUCUAGGACAUUGACUUCAGACU